CCUACGGGAGGCAGCAGUGAGGAAUAUUGGUCAAUGGACGAGAGUCUGAACCAGCCAAGUAGCGUGAAGGAUGACUGCCCUAUGGGUUGUAAACUUCUUUUAUAUGGGAAUAAAAUGUUCCACGUGUGGGAUUUUGUAUGUACCAUAUGAAUAAGGAUCGGCUAACUCCGUGCCAGCAGCCGCGGUAAUACGGAGGAUCCGAGCGUUAUCCGGAUUUAUUGGGUUUAACGGGAGCGUAGGUGGAUUGUUAAGUCAGUUGUGAAAGUUUGCGGCUCAAACGUAAAAUUGCAGUUGAAACUGGCAGGCUUGAGUACAGUAGAGGUGGGCGGAAUUCGUGGUGUAGCGGUGAAAUGCUUAGAUAUCACGAAGAACUCCGAUUGCGAAGGCAGCUCACUGGACUGCAACUGACACUGAGGCUCGAAAGUGUGGGUAUCAAACAGGAUUAGAUACCCGGGUAGUC
rnacentral:rRNA from 1 species